AGAACGAACGCUGGCGGCGUGGAUAAGACAUGCAAGUCGAGCGCUAAUUACAGGGUAGCAAUAUCUUGUAGUUGGAGCGGCGCAAGGGUGCGUAACACGUGGGUAAUCUGCCAUGAAGUUCGGGAUAACUCGCUGAAAGGCGAGCUAAUACCGAAUGUGAAAAUCGGGAAGCAUUUCCUGAUUUUCAAAGCUGGGGACCGUAAGGCCUGGCGCUUCAUGAUGAGCCCGCGGCCUAUCAGCUAGUUGGUGAGGUAACGGCUCACCAAGGCUAAGACGGGUAGCUGGUCUGAGAGGACGACCAGCCACACUGGAACUGAGACACGGUCCAGACACCUACGGGUGGCAGCAGUCGAGAAUUUUCACAAUGGGGAAACCCUGAUGGAGCGACGCCGCGUGGGGAUGAAUGGCUUCGGCCGUAAACCCUGUCAUUUGCGAACAAUUGGUUCAAUUAAUAGCUGAACCAUUGAUAGUAGCGAAAGAGGAAGGGACGGCUAAC
rnacentral:rRNA from 1 species